AUCUUGGACCUCAGCCAACUGUAAGUCAAACCAUCCCUGGGUCAAAUAUCUCUGCUGCUCCACAAAUUAUUAGUGUGCCUGGAAGUUCUAAGGUACCUGGUGUCCAAAAUCGUCCGUCACACCCUUCUACUCAUAAAAUUACUUCUACUUCUGCCCCCAGUAGGCAAUCAACUUCAAAUACCCAUCUUGGACCUCAGUCAACUGUACGUCAAACUACCCCUGGGUCAAGUAUUUCUGCUGCUCCACAAAUUAUUAGUGUGGCUGGAUGUUAUUCAAAGGUAUCUGGUCUCCCAAAUCGUCCACCACACCCUACAACUCAAAAAACUUCUUCUUCUGUCACCAGUGGGCAAUCAACUUCAAAUACCUAUCUUGGACCUCAGUCAACUGUACAUCAAACUACCCCUGGGUCAAAUAUUUCUGCUGCUCCACAAAUUAUUAGCCUGCCUGGAAGUUCUCAGGUACCUAGUCUCCCAAAUCAACCUCCACACGCUGCUACUUAUGAAAUUUCUACAACUUCUGCCGCCAGUGGGCAAUCAGGUAUAAGUAAGUGUU